rnacentral:misc_RNA from 1 species
ACUUUGUGAAUUUGACAGUCUGUUGAUAGGUUAUAUUUAUCGUUACUUUUGUGAUUUGUGAAAUAAAGUUCUAACAAAAAUCACUUAAACACAUAAUCAAAAAAACUCUAUAUAAAAAGCAAUUAAGACAUUGAUUAAGACUAAUGGUUAGCCUCUUUAUAAAUGGUGUAUAGUCUUUAUGCAUAAUUCUGAAAUGUCUAAAGAGGGUGAGAAGCUGCAUAAAGACGACCAGAUUACCAGCCCUAAAAGAGGAAUAUCUCUAUCUAUAGAUACACCAUCUCCUGGAACAAUAAAAAGGAAAUUCCCUGGACCUGCAGGAAUUUUACCAGAUGAAACCCAAUCAAAUUCUGAUAUUGACUUUUCUUCUCAACAAACUUGUUUGAUGUUUGAAGAAGGCCCAUGGAAAGAUAUGUCAAAAGAUUUUAAAAUAAGCAAUACCCUGUAUCUUUUUGACAAAUUCAAUAUUGCGUGGAUUAAAAAAGAAGCACUAGCAAAUCAUUUUGUAAAUGAAAAAGUGCCAUUUUUGGUGGCAGUUUUGUGUUCUUUAGAAAUAUCAGAAGGUCAGAAGCAGAAAUUAGUUAAUAUUACAUUAAAAGACUUAACAGAUAGGUCCUCAUUUUGAGAUUCUAAAAUUAAUAGUGAUUUAGUACCAUAGGUAAUAUAUUAUCUAUUGAGAAUAUAAUACUUAAAAAAAAUAAGAUAAUGAAAUUUAUUAUAUUGUUGGCACACCCUAUAAAAAUAAAUAUCUUGGUGAAAAGUGUAGUCAAGACCUUCAGGAAUGUCAAUCUGCAUGUCAAAACAGUCCAUUAUAACAUAUUAUGUUCAAUUCAAGGAACAAUUCACUACAGCCUUUAUAAAACAUUUGAAAAGUUACUUACAUUAGGUUCUGUAUUAGUCAUUAUACAGUUUGGAGUCCUAUCAUGUACCUGUGAUAAAUGUGAUAA